UAUUAAGUCCUGUGAAAGUGACGCCCCCUUUCCCGUUCACCCCGGGACUUCCGAGUGUUGCACGAAGGAGGGGCUAGAGCGGAAACUCUGCAUGGCUGCCCUCAGUCACCAGCCACAGGAAUUUCCCGCCUAUGUGGAGCCGACGAAUGAUGAGAUCUGUGAGGCGUUCAGGAAGGAUCCAAAGGGAUUUGCCGAUCAGUA
rnacentral:lncRNA from 1 species